CCUACGGGCGGCUGCAGUGGGGAGUAUUGCACAAUGGGCGCAAGCCUGAUGCAGCCAUGCCGCGUGUGUGAAGAAGGCCUUCGGGUUGUAAAGCACUUUCAGCGGGGAGGAAGGCGGUGAGGUUAAUAACCUCAUCGAUUGACGUUACCCGCAGAAGAAGCACCGGCUAACUCCGUGCCAGCAGCCGCGGUAAUACGGAGGGUGCAAGCGUUAAUCGGAAUUACUGGGCGUAAAGCGCACGCAGGCGGUCUGUCAAGUCGGAUGUGAAAUCCCCGGGCUCAACCUGGGAACUGCAUUCGAAACUGGCAGGCUAGAGUCUUGUAGAGGGGGGUAGAAUUCCAGGUGUAGCGGUGAAAUGCGUAGAGAUCUGGAGGAAUACCGGUGGCGAAGGCGGCCCCCUGGACAAAGACUGACGCUCAGGUGCGAAAGCGUGGGGAGCAAACAGGAUUAGAUACCCGGGUAGUC
rnacentral:rRNA from 1 species